rnacentral:rRNA from 1 species
CAUGCAAGUCGAGCGAGAAAGUGACUUCUGUCGCGAGUAAAGCGGCGAACGGGUGAGUACAACGUGGAUAAUCUACCCUAAGGUCCGGGACAACCCCGAGAAAUCGGGGCUAAUACCGGAUAAGACCACAGUAUCCGAGGAUACAGCGGUAAAAGAUUUAUCGCCUUUGGAUGAGUCCACGUCCCAUCAGGUAGUUGGUAAGGUAAAAGCUUACCAAGCCUAAGACGGGUAGCCGGCCUUAGCGGGUGAACGGCCACAUGGGGACUGAGACACGGCCCUGACUCCUACGGGAGGCAGCAGUGGGGAAUAUUGGGCAAUGGGCGAAAGCCUGACCCAGCGAUGCCGCGUGAGGGAUGAAGGCCUUCGGGUUGUAAACCUCUGUCAGGAGGGACGAUGGGACACUUGUGUCUUGACGGUACCUCCAGAGGAAGCCCCGGCUAACUCCGUGCCAGCAGCCGCGGUAAUACGGAGGGGGCAAGCGUUGCUCGGAAUUACUGGGCGUAAAGGGUCCGCAGGCUGUCAGGCAAGUUGGUUGUGAAAGCUCAAGGCUUAACCUUGGAAUUGCAUCCAAAACUGCCUGACUAGAGUCCAAGAGAGGUUGGCGGAAUUCCCGGUGUAGCGGUGAAAUGCAUAGAUAUCGGGAGGAACACCAGAGGCGAAGGCGGCCAACUGGCUUGGAACUGACG